rnacentral:lncRNA from 1 species
CCAGAACUCAGUUUUAAAGUUACUUUCCCUUUUUCAACUACUGCUGCAAUGCUGGAAUUUCCCAUGAAGACUUGAUCUCCCUGUCCUGCAUCUUCAAACUCAGAAAACAUUCCUCUUAUGCCACAUAAGUGUCGUGAUGCUCCAGAAUCAAUAACCCAUUCUGUGUCGUUCUCUAUCAUGUUGACUUCAGAAACGACAGCAGAAAAGGUAAUGAGCUCUCCUUUUCCCCCCGUAGGUUCUACAAUGUUGACUUGAGUUCUGAACUCUC